rnacentral:rRNA from 2 species
AAACUUUCAACAACGGAUCUCUUGGUUCUCGCAUCGAUGAAGAACGCAGCGAAAUGCGAUACGUAAUGUGAAUUGCAGAUAUUCGUGAAUCAUUGAAUCUUUGAACGCACCUUGCGCCCUUUGGUAUUCCAGAGGGCAUGCCUGUUUGAGCGUCAUUU